AGAUUGAACGCUGGCGGCAUGCCUAACACAUGCAAGUCGAACGGUAACAGGCCCGCAAGGGUGCUGACGAGUGGCGGACGGGUGAGGAAUACAUAGGAAUCUGCCCUAUUGUGGGGGAUAACGUAGGGAAACUUACGCUAAUACCGCAUAAGACCGGAAGGUGAAAGUGGGGGACCGCAAGGCCUCACGCGAUUGGAUGAGCCUAUGUCGGAUUAGCUAGUUGGUAGGGUAAAGGCCUACCAAGGCGACGAUCCGUAGCUGGUCUGAGAGGAUGAUCAGCCACACUGGGACUGAGACACGGCCCAGACUCCUACGGGAGGCAGCAGUGGGAAUAUUGGACAAUGGGGGCAACCCUGAUCCAGCAAUCGCCGCGUGUGUGAAGAAGGCC
rnacentral:rRNA from 1 species